UUAAGUUCAGCGGGUAGUCCUACCUGAUUUGAGGUCAGAUUGUCAAAGUAGUUGUCCUCGCGGACGGUUAGAAGCUCGAACACUGUUAUACUUCAACACCACGGCGCAGAUAAUUAUCACACCGAAGCGAUCCGUAAGGUUCGCACUAAUGCAUUUCAGAGGAGUCGACUUUCGCAAGCCGACACGACCUCCAAGUCCAA
rnacentral:misc_RNA from 1 species